GUUGGGAACCUCGUCUCUGUCUUUUUAGUGCUUCAUUGAUAGCCAGAGAGAGAGGGGAGAAAGUUAGAGAAGAAGAAGAGUUACGAUCGAGAGUCCUCUUGUAAUGUUUCUUGCUCAAAUGAGUAUUCCAACCACAGCAGCAGCACGAGGACUUUUUAAGCACUAAGGCCAGUGCAAGUAGCAGGGCGAGAGAGAUCCGCGACAUCGAUUUCAUCAAUCAUCAUCUACACCAACGGAUCUGAUAAAAAGUAUCGAAUCUUCUCUCGAGAAGUUCCUGAAGCUGCUGUUCUGAGAUGCUCAUUUGAGCAAGCAAUAUUAUGGGAGGAGGUUGAUAUAUGCAUAUACAUACACAUAUAUAUACACGUAUUGCACGACAAAGAGUCCUCCCAACCUAUCAUUAUAAUCAAGGGAAGUUGAAGACGUUUGGUCGCUCAAUCAGCUGUUUUUUAUUUUCCGGGUGUUUGAUGUGAGCUUCACAGAUGGACCGAGCUGAGGGGUAGUCGCCUCACUAAAACAUUGAUGUUUAAAGAAAAUUCUACAUAUACAGUCAUUCUACUUUUCAUGGAGUUCCUUUCGUUCUCCUUAACUUGAAAAGAUUACCAUCCUGUUCACCCUUCAAGGAGCCGCCCCCCCCCCCGUUCAGAUCCUGUGUCCAUCCCUACUGAGUUUUGCUAUCUAUGUACAUUGUAUGCAUGAAUAGUGAGAUCCGACUGAUCAGUAAUGAAUGCAUGAUACUAUAUAUACGUUGAUGAUUAUGUGUAUCAAAAUCUUAUGCAAGAUUUUGUGUCAGAAGCAAAAUUAAAAAUUUCCUGCAACUUCUUCCCUUUCCAUGUAACAGUACUCGUUGAAGGGUCGACUAUAUCGUGAUGCAGCACUAGCUGUUUAUAUUAUAUUUGCUAGUAAUAACAUAAUUAUUUAUGUGUGAGAGUUCUGUAUACAUAUAUACACACACACAUGCAUGCAUAUACUGAGAGUGCGAAACUAACACAAGACAAAGGGGCAAUAGAUUUUGCAAUUCCAUUUAAACACUUUCAAAUGAACUAUUAUAUAAUGGUUCUGAGUUUGAAUGUUAACCAAGGCAAAACGUCAAUUCGAAACUAUAAGCCAUUAAGCUCCAUAAUUAGGGUUUUAUAUGUGAGACAAAUUCUCAUUCUCCAAUUAAGUACUCCCUCUAGAAAAAAUGUCUUCUAGUAUUACAAUCUCAUAUUGAAAAAAAUAUAUUGCAAACUGCUAUAUAUAUUUCGGUUACCAGGGAGGUCAACGAACCUAGUAUCAUAAAAUGAAAAUCUUAAAUAUCUAAUAAAGCGGCACAAAUAGUCCCAUUUGAGUACCGAACUCGAGACCUCUUGGUUACCAGAUGAAAAUGUACACCACUGCGUUACAUCAUCUUUGAAAUACACUUGAAAAAUAAUUACACUGGCCCUGGCCUGAUGAUAACCUCUAGAGCUCUCACACACCAGUAAAAGCUUAAGGAAACUUAUUUACAGUGGUAGCUCGAAUGGAAAUGGUGAGUUUGCACAGCUUGCAUUUAAUUAAGUGCGAGUUAUAACAUAUAUGUGUGCGUCGGUGUGUGUAUAUAUACAAAUAGAUAGGUCAUCUAUAUAAUUCAAAGCGAGUGUAAUGCAGUGGCGCACGUCCGGUUCAAACAAUCAAGAGAUUGUUAUUUGGUGCAAAUAGAAUAUACAGUGGGACUA